GACCUGAUGGUGCAGUGGUUAGCACGCUUGCUUUAAAUGGAAACUCCUUGAGUAGAGCAAUUAAGCAAGAAACCCUCGUUCGACUCGGGGUCGGGUCG